rnacentral:rRNA from 1 species
GACGAACGCUGGCGGCGUGCUUAACACAUGCAAGUCGAACGGAAAGGCCCUGCUUUUGUGGGGUGCUCGAGUGGCGAACGGGUGAGUAACACGUGAGUAACCUGCCCUUGACUUUGGGAUAACUUCAGGAAACUGGGGCUAAUACCGGAUAGGAGCUCCUGCUGCAUGGUGGGGGUUGGAAAGUUUCGGCGGUUGGGGAUGGUCUCGCGGCUUAUCAGCUUGUUGGUGGGGUAGUGGCUUACCAAGGUUUUGACGGCUAGCCGGCCUGAGAGGGUGACCGGCCACAUUGGGACUGAGAUACGGCCCAGACUCCUACGGGAGGCAGCGGUGGGGAAUAUUGCACAAUGGGCGGAAGCCUGAUGCAGCAACGCCGCGUGCGGGAUGACGGCCUUCGGGUUGUAAACCGCUUUCGACUGUGACGAAGCGUGAGUGACGGUAAUGGGUAAAGAAGCACCGGCUAACUACGUG